GGCAUAUUGUGUCUGGCGUUGGCCUUCCCCUUUCCCCAAGAAAACUGCCUGGCCUUGAGACAGAUUUUUGCCCAAACUGCUUUUUUCUUUAGAAAGAUUGUAAAAAUGAUAAACUAUAUAUUGGUACAAAAGCCAAACAGAAAUGUCCUAAAUGUAAAAUAGGAUAUCACUGGGCCAGUCCAUGGUGCUCCAAAUUUGGUAAUGAAUGAGGGAAACCCUAUUUCAAAAAAUGGGAAAGGGAUACAACUCCUUGCAAGUAAAAAUAGGGAGGCAAUCAUAAGAUGUUAACAUUCUAGAGUGGGAGUCACACCAGAAUCACAAGAGCCCAUUGUUACCAAUUUUAGCUAAUUGAUAAAUUUACUUUUGGCUUUCAAUUUGAGUUGUUAUGUUUGUUUAAUAUGCUUAAAAUGGUCUUGUGCACAAAUUCUUAGACUACGAUUACAAGGUUAAUACGAUCUUCUGCUUCAGUAGAGGGCAUCACAGUGAGUAAAAUAUAUUCCAUUCCCUACUUGUUAAAUGUAAUUAUGUACUUUAGCAUAAUGGUAGCCAACUGUGCAUCUCAGUAGGUGUGCACGGUUAUAAAGGAAGCAAUCUUUGUGUUCAGCCACUUGGUACGACAAAUGGCAAGGUGUAUGCAUGUGUGCAAAGGUGUCAAAUCAAGAUUUUUACAUAAUUCUCCAUGUAACAUUUUUGUGUGUGUAUCCCUAGGCAUCUUGGGGGUUAAAUUAGUAUGCCCAUACUAUACUUUUUGUAAGGUACCAUACUUUGCCAUAAUGGUAACCGGGUGUGGCUCAUAGUAGCUGUGGCUGGGGAACAUAGGAAUCCAUCUGUGCAUUUGAAAUGGAAAAAACAAAAGACAGAACCGAGACUGACAGUCUCAAGCUUGGCAGAGACUGACAGUCUCGAGUCUGACAUUCUAAGGCUUGCCUCUUCUGCUAAACCAGCGAAGGUCACUGUGCUGGGAAGAUGAACUGCUGAAGGGCCAGGGAUUUAGCUCAGUGGUUCCACCACCUGCCUCAAAAGCGAAAGGUCCGGAGUUCGAUCCCCAGUACCAAAAACCAAAAAACCUGAAACACAGAUGCUUAUCUUCCUAUGUCUUAAAGACAAACUGUAAAAACAACAUUUACCUCCACCUCUAUACCCUUUGCUAGGUUCUGCUUCUGGAAAAUUCUGCUUGCUUCUCUGCCCUGGCUAGAUAACAUAAAUAUGAGAAGAAACAGGGCUCAGACUCUAGAAGGUGACUUCUGGGCCCACUAGCAAUAAUAAACCUGCCUUUCUCUUCAUUUCUCUGAGUGCCACUCUCUUCCUUGGUCUGCCUGCCCUCCAAGUGCCACUUUACAUUCACCUACUUGGCAGAGGAAGGGCAAGGCAUGUAUAGGAAGCAACAGUAGAUGAGUUUUACACAUGAAAUGCUCAUUGCUAAAUUUCUGUGCAUUUAGGAUUUGUUUUUUUUAAGUGUUUUCUUUUUAUUUUUCUUACAGAAUUAGUUGCCAAUCGUGUACAGUGGUACAUGAACAACCAGAUUUGGAAGUUGGGAGGAGGUCGAAAGUGAGUGAUCAGGACUGGCAGGAACUGUGGGUGGAUGAUGCCAUCUGGAAGUUGCUGUUCUCCAUGAUAUUCUUUGUCAUCAUGAUUCUCUGGCAACCAUCGACAAAUAACCAAAGGUUCUUGGACUCUUUAUUCUGUUGAGCCUGACAUGUCUAGUCUUUAUUGGGGCUGUUUCAUCCUGCUUGUGUGGCUGACCUUUCAUUUCCAACCCUUCCUGGUGGCCGAGCUAAUGGCUUCAGUCUCCAUUUCUUCCAUGAGAGACUUUUGUUUGUAUUUUCAUUGUAAUUUACAUAGAAAUUUAUUUCUGAUGUUAUCUUGUAGGUUUUACAAGCAAGUAAACAAGCUUAUGUGAAAAUGUUGAUGUCUAUUCUAAGCACCCAUUACAUAUUUGAUAUUUUAUUUUAUUGAUAUCUUAUUUUCCUGCUAAGUACACAUUAUACAAUAUAAUAAGACAUUCCCGACAAAAGAAGAAGACAAGAAAAGUUACAAAAAACAGAUUCACUGAGAGAGAAAUAGGGCAAUCCAUUCCUUUCACAAUAAGGUACAAGAACAGCCUGCCACAUAGGAAAGAAAAGCUAAGCACGUGUGGUAUCAGUGUAAGACUUGUGUAUGGAACAUGCAGUUGUCCUGUUUGAAGGCUGCUGUGGGUGUGACAGUUGAAGUAAAGAUUAUGUUUGUUGUAGAGUUCUUUUGGUAUUUUUAUUGUAGCUCAUAUAAGAAUUUUUUGGGGGUACCAGAAAUCAAACUCAGGACCUUGUGCUUGCCAGACAGGUCCAGAGCUCAUAUAGGAAUUUAUUCCUGUUAUAUUUUAGAUUUUGAUUUUGUGAACAAAUAUUUGAUGUUGAAAAUGAUGUUUAAACUGGUAUACACAAGUCACACUGGAUGCUGGGGUGUGUCUUUCCUUUCCCUGGAGGGACUCAUGAGUGCUGAGAUACAGCUGGGGUACAUGAUGGCGCACACCUGGAAUUCCCCCACUGGGAACCUGAGUUUGAGCCUGGCCUGAGGUACAGUGUGCAUCUGAAAUCUGGAUUACAGAGCAAGAUCCUGUCUCAAAAAGAGUUGUUUAGUGUUUCAGUACAAAGGGAGUAAAAAUCCUGAGCUGUUAUCGGUAUCUUUCAGAGGCAUAAUGAAGGACCCAGGGGGGCUUGUCCUCCUUUGCUCUAGAGACUUAGCAAAGGCUGACAGCCACGCAGAUGGUUAGAAUUAAAGUAACACUGCCCCAGUUUUGGUAUGGCAGAGGUCAUGGAAUGAGUCUGGUGGCAACUGUUCCACCCAUUCUAUUAUGAAGAUGCAGGUCAAACACAUCAAAGGUUCUCUUAGCUGAAAAUGAAGACCCAGCACUCCUUUAGGAAAAUGUUUCAUACCACACACAAAGUCAGAGUUGUUGGAAAGGAGAUUUUAUUUUCUUCUUCCUAUGCUAUGGAAGAACAUUAUGUUCCUGUUUCAUUUCCUCCCUCAAGGAGAAAAAGGAUAGCAGUUCUCUGGGUCUCAGGACUAAGCUGCUCCCACAGGUCCUAGCCAAGACAAGACACGGAGACUGGUGACUGACUCCUAUCUGCCAGCUAGCUGAUCAACCACCACUGAAGGGCAGACAAGUGACUGAAAGGCAAGUUGUAGACUUGGCCUCAGAGACCAACAGUUCAAACCGUGAGGUGAUCAAAAUGAUAAAGUAAACAGCACCCAGGAUGCAGCUGUCCACGGAGCCCGCAUCUCUGCAUUCUGGCCACUUAAGUUAAGCAGUGUCUAAAGGGGCACAGCCUCCCAGCCUGUCACAGGAAUGGUCAACUCCAGGCCCAAGGCUCUCUGACCAUUCUCCUUGGCUUUGACUUUCAAGUGAAAGGGCAGGGUUCUAGCAAAUCCUCCAAGCCAAGCCAGUCCAAGGAAGGUGUACCAUGGCAGAGGCUCUGGACAUACACAGGGAACCCUAUGUACAGAACCCCUCUCAGGGGCUCUUCAGGGCUCUGAAGCUGAACCCUCAUCUGAACCACCUAAGCAGCCAAGUGAAUUACAAGGAGGCAAAGUAGCUCAAUGGAAGUGUGAACAGGUGGAUGGCCAGGGACUAAGACCCAGGAGACAGUAAGUUUCCUCAGCAGAGCUCUUCCAAACAUGAGCUUCAAGGUUUCUUUCCUUUUCAAAAAGUCACAACCAAAAUCCUGCUGUCCUGAACUCGUUUUCUAGGAAUGAGCAACAGGGAAGAACCAAAAUAAACUUGGGAUAAUGAUGAGUGUAUUUUUAGGCUAAGUGUGUGGUUUGCUAAUUGAGAAGGUACCAAAAAGAUCUCCAGACAGAGAAGUGGGAGCACUUGCUAUUCCUUCAGGCAAAAGCGGAGCUACUGAACAGAAAGAGUGGUGAGGCAGCCACUGCAUCUUUCCCAUUUUUUAAAGGGAAGUAUGUGUGACAUGUUGCCUUCUCCAUCCCAGCCUCUCAGAGAACCAGCUGCCUUCCAUAUUUUAUGAGGAAAAUUGUAAACCCACCAGUACCCGGGCUGAGUUCCCACUGCUGCUAGUUCUGAGGACGUAUGAGACAGGGUCUUGCUUGUAGGAUGACAAAGUUACAGUUUGGAUUUUGUGAAGCAUAGUUAAAAGUCAGAGCUGCCCCUAAAGACACAAAAUAAACUUAUUUCCCUUCCUAAAAAAAUGUACAAAAAGAGAAAAUGGUGUUUUAUUUGAAAUGUGCAAUACAUAUUAUGAAUCGAAUGCUUUGUUGAUAUUUUAUGUUCCUGUUUACUACAAAUUGUAUAAUAAGAACCUCCUGACAAAACAGCAAGAUAGCAAGAUGUCUACUAUGUCCUACAAAAAAGAUAGGAAAGCAAAACACAUGUGCUAUCAGUGUAAAUGAUACAUGCAUGCUGUUUUCAUGUGUGAAGACUGCUUUAGGUAUGAUAAUUGAAGUAAAGAUUAUUUUUGUUGUAAAGUUCUAUUGGUAUUUUCAUUAUAAUGAUGGAGCAAUAAUACACAAUAAGAUUGGCCCUUGCCUUUCCCUUGCCUUGCCUCCAUUUUUUUUUUUUUUUCCACAAAAUGUUUUGUCUCAGAAAUGUGACAGUUUGUGCUGCUGGGCAGCAGCUCCUGCCCAAUGUAUCAAAAUGUUUUGUGACUGAAUUAUGUGACCUUUCAGGAAUGUUCUGUUAAAUUCUGCCCCUCUGCUUCAGGAAUGUUCUGUAACUCUGCCCUCCUUGCUUCAGUGUGCAUGCUCACCUAUCCUGUAGAUCCCUAUUUAAGGAGGCUCUCAUUUCUGGUAGAGCGCUCACACUUCAAGUAUGAACUCCUCUGAGCCUGCCAGUGUAAUAAACGUUUUCUCCACCCUCUUCGAGUGACCAUCAGAUUCUAGAGUCUUCAAAUUGAGAGAGCUGGGGUCCAGAUCUGCACACACUGAGCUGUAAAGCUCAGCUGUGCUCGGAGCUGUGGCACUUGGCUGCAACCCUGAGCUGUAGGGCGGGGAUUUAGCGCAGUGGUUUUGCUGCCUGCUGCACAAGGACCACAGUUCAAUCUCCAGUACCAAAAAACCCCAAAAACAAAAACAAAAAUACCCCAUUGAGCUGUAACACUCAGCUGUGCCUCUGAGCUGUGGUACUUCUGGCUGCGACACUGAGCUAUAACACUUGGCUAUGGCACUGAGCUUCUCUGCCGCAACAGUAGUUCAUAUAGAUAUUUGUUAUUUUUUAGACUUUAAGAAGUUGAUGUUGAAAAUGAUGCUUAUUUAUAAACACUAUUAAAAAUUCAGUAUUUAAAAAUUUUUACACAAUAUAAAACUCAAAAUUAAAAUUAAUUCAUCAGUAUAAAUACUUCUAAAAGAUAAAUGUGGGUGUUAUACACCCCAUGAUGCUCCUUUAAUCUAAAAUUGACAUGAUCCCCCAAUAAGGGUACUUUUUCAAGGCUGUUUACAGAUUUGUUGGCAGCCAGUCAGAUUUAAAAAUGUAACAAUCUGAGACCAAAGGAAAAAAGAAAAAGAAGGACACUUUAAAAUCCAAGUGGCUGCAGCGAAGUUUGUUUUAGCCUGUGGCAAGUACAGUGUUACCUCAGUUCAUGAAUGCUUUUGUUUGCAAGCAGUUUGGUUUGGCAAAAUUUUUCUUUUGUUUGUGAACACUGUGUCAGGUGAUAAACAUGACUGCAGUCAUCUUUCCUACAUGAACAUGAAUAUGGCUGUCUUUUCCAGAAUCAUGGGGGACAAAUUAAGUUUGUGAACCAAGGGACCACUGUAGGACAGAGAAAAUAUAGAAGAAGCUUUAAGUAUAGAGAUACAUUUUUGAUGUGAGGAUUUUGUAUGAUAAAGUUAAGAAAGAGGGAAAUAAUGACAGACCUGGAAGACUUAAGCAUGUCAAAAAGUUUGUGGAAGAUACAGUUUAUAGAAAGAAAUACGUAUGUUUAUUUUAUGCUUUGCUCUUGUUAGUUUGAUUAAGCCCAAACUAUUUCUUUUAAUAAAUCCUUGUUGCUCAAAGAAGAUUAGGGGGCUAUAAUCCUGACUCUCAUCAGUCACUUCUCAUUUCUCAGCUCUCCUCUCUGGUUUAACUGGUGCUUUCAGGCAAAGGGUAUAAUUCUCCUUUCUGAGAUUAAUAUUAGCUGGGCCUGGGGGCCAGGUAUUUAGCUCAGUGGCACUGCUCCUGGCUCAAAAGCACAAGGUCCUGAGUUCGAUCCUCAGUACAAAAAAAAAAGGCUGGGCCUCGUAGUGCAUGCUUUAAUUCCAGCACUUAGAAGAUGAGGCAGGAGGAUUGCCACGAGUUUAGAGGCCAGCCUGGGCUACAUAGUGAGUUCAAGGCCAACCUGAACUACACGGUGAAACCCUGUCUAAAAAAAAAAAAAAAAAAAUAUAUAUAUAUAUAUAUAUAUAUAUAUAUAUGUAUCUCAUGAGCGUUUCUGCAUGACUAGCAGAGACAUCUAUCUAAACUGGUCAGUGACAAAAAACAAGUCAAAACUGCCUCCUUGAGCAAUUUCAACCUGGUUUGUGACACUCAUUGCUGACUUCAUGAUAUAUUAAAUAUAUUUAUAAUUCCUAAGUGUAUGGGUCUUCAACAAUGCAAAAUUUUAAAAAAAAUAUCAUACUAAUGACUUCUAGCCUAAAAGUAUUUAUGAUAAUAAAAUUUUAAACUCAAAUCUCUGGCUUCUCCUUUUCUUGUUUUCUGUUUAUGAUAAAAUAUACAUUGCCAAUCUAACAGGCAGCUAG
rnacentral:lncRNA from 1 species